AGAACACAAGAAACUUGUUUCCGUCUUAAAGUCACAAUUGAAUGAGGCUAUUUUAAGAGAGGAUUAUGGAGAAGCUGCAAAGCUGAAGUUGGCCAUAACUGGUGCUACAAAAAAGGAUAUUGUUGGAGCAGCAUUGACUAUUAUGAAUAGAGCUAUAGAGGAAGAGUGAUACAGCGAUGU